rnacentral:rRNA from 1 species
UACGUAGGGUGCAAGCGUUGUCCGGAAUUAUUGGGCGUAAAGAGCGUGUAGGCGGCCCGAUUAGUCCGCUGUGAAAGUCCAGGGCUCAACCCUGGAAUGCCGGUGGAUACUGUCGGGCUAGAGUCCGGAAGGGGCGAGUGGAAUUCCUGGUGUAGCGGUGAAAUGCGCAGAUAUCAGGAGGAACACCAAUGGCGAAGGCAGCUCGCUGGGACGUGACUGACGCUGAGACGCGAAAGCGUGGGGGGCAAACAGG